rnacentral:rRNA from 1 species
GAUGAACGCUGGCGGCGUGCCUAAUACAUGCAAGUCGAGCGGACAGACGAGGAUCUUGCUCCUCUUACGUUAGCGGCGGACGGGUAAGUAACACGUGGCUAACCUGUCUAUUAGCCUGGAAUAACUUCUGAACCCCGGAGCUAAUACCUGAUAAUCUAUUGAACCGCAUGGUUCAAUCUUUAGAGGCGGUUUUUCUUUCACUUGUUGAUGGUUCCCCGCCGCAUUAUCUAGUUGGUAAGGUAACGGCUUACUAAGGCAACGAUGGGUAGCCGACCUGAGAGGGUGAUCGGCGACACUGGAACUGAGACAGGGUCCAGACCCCGACGGGAGGCAGAAGUAGGAAAGGUUAAGAAAGGGGCGAAAGCGUGACGGAGAAACGCCGCGGGAGUGAGGAAGGUCUUCGGAUCGUAAUACUCUGUUAUUAGGGAAGAACAAAUGUGUAAGUAACUAGGAACGUCUUGACGGUACCGAAACAGAAAGCCACGGCUAACUACGUG